rnacentral:lncRNA from 1 species
GCAUUUUAUCAAUGUACUUUUAUCACUUAUAUUUCAUUUUAUUCAGUAAGAAGCUGGUGCUGAGUUUUGCCAACAAUAUUUCAGCCUUGCAACCAUACCUACCAGCCAGAUUUUUCUGCAGAUCCCAGGUAUAUGUGUGUUUCUCUGUGAGUGGGUGUGUAAGCUGUUGUCAGUGAGUGUGUGUGUGUGUGUGUGUGUGUGUGUAUCUGUGUAGGGUGAUUUUAAUGCCAACUCUUCUCUUGUAAUAUUGUCAAUGUGAGAUAUUACCCGUCUUCAUUUUGUUCUUUUGCAGUUUAACCACACAUGGUCUGUGGUGAGGGGGGCUGCCAAGCUCCUAACAGACAAAAGGAUGUUUACCGCACAGGGAGAUUUCACUUAUACAGCUGCAGGUUUCAGGCAGUCGCUGGAGCUCAAUCAUACUUUCCCACAGGUGAGAGACCAUUACAACAGCACAGUGGCAAACAGCGGACAUUAUUCAUUUAGCAGGGAUUUGUGGGUAGAUCCCACCACAGUGACACUUCAUCAUUGACCUGCCGUAUUACUGUUAUCCUUAUGUGCAGUGAAAAUAAUGCAUGUUCUCUGAGUGUUCUUGUGAUCUUCUUGUGAUCUUCUAUCAUUGCGUUUUAACGAUAACUGAGUGUUGAGUGAGCGUCAAACUAUAAAUUACUUUGGAUCCACCAUCUCAACUUCAUUUCUCUUAACCUAAAUUAAUGCUUUUUACCAGCUGAUGUUUGUGCCCCGGACAGCUACAGUAAGCACCCUGUAUGAGAGGGGGAACUGUACCCACGUGCUCCAGCACCAGGCAGACUGGACGAGUAUGGACCUGACACCUUCUGGCUCAACCACUGUUAACCCAGCCCAGGGGUUCCCCCUUCCACAUGGGUGGGGUCUUGGCGUGAAGCUUGACGGCGCCCCUCAGAGGCGACUAGUAGAUUUGCUCCUUGGCUGGACCGCUCAGGGCAAACACAAGAGAGUGAGUGUCACUACAUGUACAUGCUCUUAGUUUGUUAGGUAUG